GUCGUCAUCUGUUGGUUAGAAACAUGUCGCAGGUUCUGCGUGUUCCCAGAGGGGGCGAUGAUGCAAGAAUGUGACUUGUGGGCCAGGGGGAGGGGUUCGUACUAAGGUGUAUCCGCCCUACCAGCAGCAGUCAGUAUUUAGUACCUGAAACUCGCUCUUCAAGGAUUUAAGUGACACCAGAGUUGGGAGCCAUGUCGCUGUGAAUGGAACAAGGUGGAAUUUCAAUAGGAAGACCUUCCAAAGGUGUGACAGUUCUCAAAGUUCAGACUGCGACACCUUAACUCCUGCAGAUUUUAGUCUCAGCCUUAGUUCACUGGUUUUCAUUUUGCUCGUGAUGAACUCUGAUUUUUCUUGAAUGAGCUAAUUUUUCUAAAAAGUCUUAAUUUUCUUUCCUUAUUACUCGCAUUACAAGAAAUAAAAUAGUGAAAUUGUUGGGAGGUCAAGAAACCUAGGAGUUGGAAGUGAUGCUCGAAUCUUGUAACCCCACCUGGUGGGGGUUUCUGUCACUGCAGGUGGUUUUAAUACAGACACAGCCCUAAACAUUUAAUUCAGAGUGACUGUUGAUUACUCCUAGGGUUGAACUCUGCGGGAUUGCUGGUGUCAGACAGCUUGUCUGCCGCUCUGUCAGACUUGCUGUUUUCUUGGUCGUACAUAUGGACAGUGCUUCACCAUGCGAAGGAGGGACGUGGCCAGACCCACAGUGUAACUGAACAUGUGGUGGGGGGGGCGCUUUGACAUACUUGCAAGAUUGGAGGGAAGCGUGGUUGCAGCAGCUCCAGAAACAGGGUUUGUUGUAGAACUCUAUCAGUGUGGGCCUGAGCAAUGUGCCACCGAAAUCACACACAUGUAAACACACAGGUUCUUUGGGGCUUUUGUUGGUGAUUUAUGGAAAGUCUGAUUGGGACUGUUUGUACAGCCAGCCAGUACUCUCUGUAGUUUUCUAGAAGAUACGCCAGUAUUCUAAUGAAACCAGCUAGGCAGUCUGGGAUUUCUGCAUAAAUAUCCCCGCCCAAUUUCUCUUGUCC